AAGAAAGUGGCAGAAUGGCUAUGCGACUGGCUUGAAACCAGUAAACGAGGGUUCAAUUCCUUCUUUUCUCG
rnacentral:tRNA from 2 species